CAACUUUGACAACAGUUAAGUCACCGUCUGAUUUCUCUUCCUCCCAGGCUCAACGUGUUCUGAAAAGCUCCAUCUGCGAACACCUCUUCUCUCAUACCUCUACUCUCACUCCUCCCCUCCAUCCAUUGUUAUUUUCUACUGGGUCUUCAAAAGCUGUAAGCAAGAGGACCUAAAAGCUUAGUCAUUUAAGUUCUCCAGAAAAAAUCCUCAAGCUAUAAAGGCUUACGACAACAGCAAAACUAAUUGAAGCCAGAUCUAAAAGUUUUCGUUUGCUGCCCGAUUCAAACAUGACAGUAGCAUCAACUACCAAAUAAACGUAUUCCUCCGACUUACUGAGAUCCACCUGCAAAUGCCACCCAAGCCGCUGUUAAAGGGGUAUUUAUUUAGAUUUUUCUGUUGCGGAAACAAACUUCGUGAAGAAGAAGAAGAAGACCCAGUGAUUAGUAAUAGAAGAAAGAAGAAGAAGCCCCAGUGAUUAGUAAUUUUCUUUCUUGAAUGAAUACCGUGACAUAUGAACUCUGUGCUACCAAAUUAUUAUGCAACAUUGAAAAUUGAUAAUA